rnacentral:lncRNA from 1 species
AGUCUAAACGCAUUUAGAUGUCCAAAUUAUUUUGCUAAAUGAUUCUCUUUCAUGAAAUGAUCUAUGAUAUAUUAUAACAAAAAUUUAUUUGCAAGCCAAAAUUAUUGUGAUGAUAUUUUAUGAAUAUGAUAUAAAUUUUCUAUUCACAUAUGCAAUUAAGGUAAUUUAUGGUAAGUUGUAAAGGGCUACGUCUUGAAAUUGUGUGGGGCCACCUCUUAAAGGCCAAUGUGUCACGAAGUGGCACAUACAUUACAAAGUGUCAUGUGCAGAUUGUUAUACAAUUAAAAGAUAAAUUUAGAUGUUUUACCUCACUGUCCAUGGUUAUUUUGAUUUUGAUUAUAUAGUACGAUAUAAAUAUUCUAGAACAAUAGUAGGUUUUUAUUCUAAGUGUGCACAUGAUAUUCUAAUGGUGAUUUUGCUUCUGUCCAGUCAUCAGGAGUAUAAGUGAUAUAAUAUGACAUGAGCUAACCUUUUGUUUUUUGUGUAUAUAUAUUAUAGAUUUGUUUUCAUGAUUAAUUAUACUUUUGAUAUUUUGAAUCACUUAUGAAUUUAUGUUUUUUAGUUAUAAUAUGUCAUGUUGUAAAACUUAUGUGAUACUUUCCGUACUCGAUAAAUGUGAUGUGUUGGAAUAAUUUUACUUACCAAGUUAACUACUCACAUUUUGUCGUUAUUUUUUGCAUAUUGAGUAACUUGUUGAGAGGUGUACUUAUUUUUAGAACUAACAUUUUAUUUGCUUUUGCUAGUUGAAUAAGAGAAUGAUGAACUUUUGUUUCCUUUAAGUUUGUUUAUCUUCUUAAAAUUGCAAGUGGAGACUUUUAAGGUUUUUGUUAUAUUUAUGACUUUGGAAGAAAAUAUUUAGUGUUGGAUUUGUGGAUUUGUAGAUUUUUUUUGAAAAAAAAAAUUAAGAUAUUUCAGUUUAAGAGUUUUGUGUAAGAAUUAUAAUUUGUAAGUAACCUCAUUUACCCGCAUAUAUUAGAUUUGGGAUGUUAUAGUAAAUGUGCAAAUAAUGGCAAAUGCAAGCCAUUAUUACAAUAAUAGCUUACAUUUGAGAGAGAGAAAAAAAAAUUGAGAGGAAAAAUAAAUAUGCUGAUUUAAAAGAUGUAUUUCAUGAAGUUAUAACUAUCAAUUUCUUUGAAUAAAGUCACUACAUAAAUUGGUUAUGUAUCCUCUCCAAGCCAAUCUACUAGUUAUAGUGCAUCAAGGUCCAUAUGUUUUUCAAAAAUGUAUGGCACGUGGAUGUUUAGCGCGUGGAUGUAAUUGCAACUACUGAAAUUUAGGAAGAAGAAAGUGCGAAGGCUAUUUUUGUAAUUAUGGUGGGUGUUUGUCGAAAUAUUUUAAGGAUGAAGCUAUUUGAGCCCACUAGAAAACUCAUUAGACCCAUCUUUUAAUGAAGAUUUUUAUUACUAAUUUAUCCCCAAUGCAAAUUAUAAUUAUAAACAAGGUAAUACGGUUAAAAAAAAAAUUCUCCCAUCUCCUCUGCAUUGACCUCUCACUUUGGUCAAUGGGGAUUCAAACAAUUGGAAUUACAAAGCGUGAAUUUAUCAAUUUAAGGGAUGUCCUUUACCAAGGAAAGAAGGACAAUGCAAGAGGAACAAAAGUUAUUUGCCCGAUUUGCCUUUGAUUCUUAGUUUAAACGUGAAGCAAUUUGAUUUGAUUUUUAUUUCAUCUUUAAUGUUAAUAGAAUAAAGAUUGAAGUCGUAUUUGACCAAGCAAAAUUGGCCGGAAAAGACCUUCCUAGCCCACUUUCAUGGGAUUUCAGAAGUGAAUUCCCAGUUUUUGGUCAAGAAUUUUGUAUACAGAAAGAAAAAUAGUUGGUGGGGUAGAGAUUUUUUUAUUUACUGUGGUUUACCUAAUCUUAGAUUUAUAAAAAUACAUGCAAAAUUUUAUGGAAAAGAAAAUUAGUAAAGUGAGAGUGAAAACUUCACAUAUGGAUAUGCUGAAGACAAAUCCAAAAACAAUUAGAGAUGAGAGAAAAGGUUGAAGAAAUCAUCAAUAAAAAAUUGUAUAAAUUAUGAUAAAUUAACUGAUAAGGGUAUGAUAGGCAUUAAGAUGGGUCUACAGAAAAAAAAAACAAAAUUUGAUGAUAGAUCUAUUAAGAAAAUGGAUUUAAGAAGUAUUUUGGUGGGUUCAAAUAACUCUACUCAUAUUUUAAUUGGUCAUAUUUAUAAAUGGAGUUUAUUUAAUGGUGACGUGUUCGCAGGAUAUUAGUAGCGUACUAGCGUGCUAGGAGAUCGAAAAGGAAAGAGGAAAAAAACCUGUAUUGGGUCUCAGUCAUGCUUGGAUUUCCCCGACAUUUGAUCCGCUUGUUAAAAUGGGCUGGCCCAAUAAUUGGACAUAGAGAACUAACUCUGCAUGCCACUCAUGACAUCAGUCUUUAACACAAAAUAAAAUGAGUUGGACUAUUAGCACCCCUCUAAAAUCUUUUUAAAACCACUAUUUUAUUACAAUUACAUUUAAAGAUAAAUACUCUAAUAUAUUUCACG